GGCGGCGGGCGGUGGGUGACGAGCGGCGGGCCUUCCCGGGAGGCGGCGGCGGCCAGGGAGUUUGCCUGCUGGAAACCGCGCGCCUGGGAGGGCGUCUCAGGUGAGUUGACACGUUGGUGCUGGAACGAGUGCACCCCGAAGUACGACUGUUGGCACAUUCAGCCCCUUGCGCAGUGUCCUGUGUCGGGGUAGUUGACCUUCGUGCACACGGUCGGGGAAUCUCCCUACUGCCUGCCCCCAGAGGCGUUGCAGGUGUGGCUUGUGUCACACGUGUGUCAUUCGGUGGCAGAAAGAAGAGAGGCUUAUCUACGCCCAGUGUUCCAGCUCGUGGACGUCUGGAUGAUGGAUAGUCUGACACCCGACCAAGCGCUUUGGGCCUUGCCUGAGGCCCCCCUGUGAAAACCCUCCCACUGUCUCCUAGUUCUUGGAUAGUCUCAGAUGGGCACGUGGUCGUAGGUAGUGGGCCACUCGAUUUCAGGUAGGCAGAACAAAGGACGCUUCUCAGUAGGACCUUCCUGCCACCUGCCUGGCCGGCAGGGUAGGUUUUUCAGAAUCCUGCAGAAGCAGGGGAGGUUUGCCGGAACCUGGUCCGGUUAACAGUAACGAUGACAGCCGACGUUUAUUAUACUCUCAUUUCGGGCUGAGCGUUUUUGUUCCUUAAUACAGGAACCAGGGCAACGGCUGUUGCCCCGGAGGUGCCCAGAAAAACUUCGCGCCACCAUCCAGACCGAGGUAAGAGGAGAGACGAAGCUGGCCUCCAGGCUGGUGGGAGGGGACGGCUGCCCUGCAGGUGCUGGACCUGCCGGCACCCCAGAUCCAGCUGCUCUGCUGUACCUGGGACAUCAGGGCAAAUAGGAAGUGGCUAUUUCUACGCUCAGUGCUCAGAACAGUGAGCACUAAGAAUGGUUUGUAGCCGGACAUGCCUUAGAG